AUACUUACUUGACAGGGGAGAUAACAUGAGCACAAAUUGGUUUUUCCAGGGCAAGACUUGCCUGUUGCAUUCCGAACGUGCUGACCUCUGUGAUUUUCUCACAUGCGGGAAGCUUGACUAAAGAAUUUGUGCUAGCAGGUUUAAAAAACAAAAAUAAAAAUAUCUA